rnacentral:rRNA from 1 species
AAUGAACGCUGGCGGCGUGCCUAAUACAUGCAAGUCGAGCGAACAGACGAGGAGCUUGCUCCUCUGACGUUAGCGGCGGACGGGUGAGUAACACGUGGAUAACCUACCUAUAAGACUGGGAUAACUUCGGGAAACCGGAGCUAAUACCGGAUAAUAUAUUGAACCGCAUGGUUCAAUAGUGAAAGACGGUUUUGCUGUCACUUAUAGAUGGAUCCGCGCCGCAUUAGCUAGUUGGUAAGGUAACGGCUUACCAAGACAACGAUGCGUAGCCGACCUGAGAGGGUGAUCGGCCACACUGGAACUGAGACACGGUCCAGACUCCUACGGGAGGCAGCAGUAGGGAAUCUUCCGCAAUGGGCGAAAGCCUGACGGAGCAACGCCGCGUGAGUGAUGAAGGUCUUCGGAUCGUAAAACUCUGUUAUUAGGGAAGAACAAAUGUGUAAGUAACUAUGCACGUCUUGACGGUACCUAAUCAGAAAGCCACGGCUAACCACGUG